AAUUUGCUUAUUUGAUUUCACAAGGAGCAAAAUGCCUGCACACUUCUAGAAAACUCUCAUAGAUGAGGUGAUGAAAUGUUUUUCUAGAGAACGGCUUCUAGUUUGCUUCCCUUAAAAAUAACUUUAUCUCAAAUGUGUUCCCACAGAAUCAGAGGUUCUAACAUAGAUCUACCCAGCAAAUCAAGGGAAUGAUUGGCGAUAAUAAAAUAUGUUGUGUUUUUCCUUUUUACACGUUACAUGUUACUGAUUUAUUAAUUCCUGAAAUCAGGCGAUCCCUAGACCACCCAUCUGAACUUUCAAAGUGGAAUUACUAUGGAUCAAGUAGUGGUCAAGCUCCAAGGGAGGAUAGAGAAGUGAUCUCAUUGUUAGCAUUUGACAGCAACAUUGGGAAAACUAAAAGCUGCAAAUUGUUUUGUAUAAUAUCACAGUUUCUGAAGUCUUUAUGUGAAGAGUUCGAAAAAAAUGCACAUUCUUGGUUUGCGGUUCAACCAUUCUGCAGAGGUUCUUAGACAAGGCAAAAAUUGUGCAGAUUUUGGCAUUGAUGAUACAAUGCUAAAUGAGGAUCACAAAGAGCUCAUUGACUGCCAGUCCCAGGAUAGCGAAAACGCAUGGAAUUCUCUCUUGCUAAAAAAGAAGAGGAGUGGAAACACCAAGAGCUUUUAUGAGUUCAGGGUGUAUGCUUUGAAAUCCGAGAACUAUACUACUCCAAGUUCGAGAGUCUUCUCAACUUGGACGUCAUGCCCACCGAUAUGAUAAUUGCAUAAUGCAUUUGGUAUGUUUUCAUGCCUAAAACCUUUAAGCCCGGUGCACAAAACGAUGAACAAUGCUAGAACUAUUCUGUACUGAGAUUAUAAGUUUGCAUUUUUCUUCAAUCUCUAUCAGAAAAUGUAUGUCAUAUAUUUUAUGCACAUUCAACAA